AGAGUUUGAUCCUGGCUCAGAACGAACGCUGGCGGCAGGCCUAACACAUGCAAGUCGAGCGCACCCUUCGGGGCGAGCGGCGGACGGGUAGUAACGCGUGGGAAUAUACCCUUCACUACGGAAUAGCCUCGGGAAACUGAGAGUAAUACCGUAUACGCCCUUCGGGGGAAAGAUUUAUCGGUGAUGGAUUAGCCCGCGUCUGAUUAGAUAGUUGGUGGGGUAAUGGCCUACCAAGUCUACGAUCAGUAGCUGGUUUUAGAGGAUGAUCAGCAACACUGGGACUGAGACACGGCCCAGACUCCUACGGGAGGCAGCAGUGGGGAAUCUUAGACAAUGGGCGAAAGCCUGAUCUAGCCAUGCCGCGUGUGUGAUGAAGGCCUUAGGGUCGUAAAGCACUUUCGCCAGGGAUGAUAAUGACAGCACCUGGUAAAGAAACCCCGGCUAACUCCGUGCCAGCAGCCGCGGUAAUACGGAGGGGGUUAGCGUUGUUCGGAAUUACUGGGCGUAAAGCGCACGUAGGCGGAUCAGAAAGUUGGGGGUGAAAUCCCAGGGCUCAACCCUGGAACUGCCCUCAAAACUCCUGGUCUUGAGUUCGAGAGAGGUGAGUGGAAUUCCAAGUGUAGAGGUGAAAUUCGUAGAUAUUUGGAGGAACACCAGUGGCGAAGGCGGCUCACUGGCUCGAUACUGACGCUGAGGUGCGAAAGUGUGGGGAGCAAACAGGAUUAGAUACCCUGGUAGUCCACACCGUAAACGAUGAAUGCCAGGCGUCGGGCAGUAUACUGUUCGGUGUCACACCUAACGGAUUAAGCAUUCCGCCUGGGGAGUACGGUCGCAAGAUUAAAACUCAAAGGAAUCGACGGGGGCCCGCACAAGCGGUGGAGCAUGUGGUUUAAUUCGAAGCAACGCGCAGAACUUUACCAACCCUUGACAUCCUAGGACAACUCCAGAGAUGGAGCCUUCCUUCGGGACCUAGUGACAGGUGCUGCAUGGCUGUCGUCAGCUCGUGUCAUGAGAUGUUCGGUUAAGUCCGGCAACGAGCGCAACCCACAUCUUUAGUUGCCAGCAGGUUAAGCUGGGCACUCUAAAGAAACUGCCCGUGAUAAGCGGGAGGAAGGUGUGGAUGACGUCAAGUCCUCAUGGCCCUUACGGGUUGGGCUACACACGUGCUACAAUGGUGGUGACAAUGGGUUAAUCCCAAAAAACCAUCUCAGUUCGGAUUGGGGUCUGCAACUCGACCCCAUGAAGUCGGAAUCGCUAGUAAUCGCGUAACAGCAUGACGCGGUGAAUACGUUCCCGGGCCUUGUACACACCGCCCGUCACACCAUGGGAGUUGGGUUUACCCGAAGGCCGUGCGCCAACCUUUCGAGGGGGCAGCGGACCACGGUGAGCUCAGCGACUGGGGUGAAGUCGUAACAAGGUA
rnacentral:rRNA from 1 species